CUGGAGCCUUUCUCCAAAGCCUUGGCAGGAGAUCUAUUGGAAUACUCUGACUGUCCACAUUCUUGGAAAGACGGCAAUAGGAGCAAGUUGCUUUCAUCCAGCCAGUUUUCUACAUUUCUACAGUAUGUGAAGUUUAACCUCUCAAGGAAUCUUUAAAAGACUGGGAAGACUAUAAUCAGAGACUGGAAAGUGAAAGGAUUGUUUAUGAUUCACCAUCAAACCACAGAAUUUAACAAAGAAG